rnacentral:rRNA from 1 species
AUUGAACGCUGGCGGCAUGCCUUACACAUGCAAGUCGAACGGUAACGGGUCCUUCGGGAUGCCGACGAGUGGCGAACGGGUGAGUAAUAUAUCGGAACGUGCCCAGUAGUGGGGGAUGACUGCUCGAAAGAGCAGCUAAUACCGCAUACGACCUGAGGGUGAAAGGGGGGGAUCGCAAGACCUCUCGCUAUUGGAGCGGCCGAUAUCAGAUUAGCUAGUUGGUGGGGUAAAGGCCUACCAAGGCAACGAUCUGUAGUUGGUCUGAGAGGACGACCAGCCACACUGGGACUGAGACACGGCCCAGACUCCUACGGGAGGCAGCAGUGGGGAAUUUUGGACAAUGGGCGCAAGCCUGAUCCAGCAAUGCCGCGUGCAGGAAGAAGGCCUUCGGGUUGUAAACUGCUUUUGUCAGGGAAGAAAUCUUCUGGGCUAAUACCCCGGGAGGAUGACGGUACCUGAAGAAUAAGCACCGGCUAACUACGUGCCAGCAGCCGCGGUAAUACGUAGGGUGCGAGCGUUAAUCGGAAUUACUGGGCGUAAAGCGUGCGCAGGCGGCUUUGCAAGACAGAUGUGAAAUCCCCGGGCUCUACCUGGGAACUGCAUUUGUGACUGCAAGGCUAGAGUACGGCAGAGGGGGAUGGAAUUCCGCGUGUAGCAGUGAAAUGCGUAGAUAUGCGGAGGAACACCAAUGGCGAAGGCAAUCCCCUGGGCCUGUACUGACGCUCAUGCACGAAAGCGUGGGGAGCAAACAGGAUUAGAUACCCUGGUAGUCCACGCCCUAAACGAUGUCAACUGGUUGUUGGACGGCUUGCUGUUCAGUAACGAAGCUAACGCGUGAAGUUGACCGCCUGGGGAGUACGGCCGCAAGGUUGAAACUCAGAGGAAUUGACGGGGACCCGCACAAGCGGUGGAUGAUGUGGUUUAAUUCGAUGCAACGCGAAAAACCUUACCUACCCUUGACAUGUCAAGAAUUCUGCAGAGAUGUGGAAGUGCUCGAAAGAGAACUUGAACACAGGUGCUGCAUGGCCGUCGUCAGCUCGUGUCGUGAGAUGUUGGGUUAAGUCCCGCAACGAGCGCAACCCUUGUCAUUAGUUGCUACGCAAGAGCACUCUAAUGAGACUGCCGGUGACAAACCGGAGGAAGGUGGGGAUGACGUCAGGUCCUCAUGGCCCUUAUGGGUAGGGCUACACACGUCAUACAAUGGCCGGUACAGAGGGCUGCCAACCCGCGAGGGGGAGCCAAUCCCAGAAAACCGGUCGUAGUCCGGAUCGUAGUCUGCAACUCGACUGCGUGAAGUCGGAAUCGCUAGUAAUCGCGGAUCAGCUUGCCGCGGUGAAUACGUUCCCGGGUCU